UGGGGAAUAUUGGACAAUGGGGGCAACCCUGAUCCAGCGAUGCCGCGUGCGUGAAGAAGGCCUGAGGGUUGUAAAGCACUUUAGUUGGGGAGGAGAUUUCGAGUAUGAAUAAUGCUUGGAGGAGACGUUACCCAAAGAAUAAGCACCGGCAAACUCUGUGCCAGCAGCCGCGGUAAUACAGAGGGUGCAAGCGUUAAUCGGACUUACUGGGCGUAAAGCGCACGUAGGUGGUUAAGUAAGUUAGUUGUGAAAUCCCUGGGCUUAACCUGGGAACUGCAAUUAAGACUGCUAGACUAGAGUCGAAGAGAGGGAAGCGGAAUUUCCGGUGUAGCGGUGAAAUGCGUAGAUAUCGGAAGGAACAUCAGUGGCGAAGGCGGCUUCCUGGAUUCAGACUGACACUGAGGAGCGAAAGCGUGGGUAGCGAACAGGAUUAGAUACCCAUGUAGUCCCUGAGCGGGCUGGCAAGGCGCAU
rnacentral:rRNA from 1 species